AGAGUUUGAUCCUGGCUCAGGAUGAACGCUAGCUACAGGCUUAACACAUGCAAGUCGAGGGGCAGCGGGAUUGAAGCUUGCUUCAAUUGCCGGCGACCGGCGCACGGGUGAGUAACGCGUAUCCAACCUUCCGUACACUCAGGGAUAGCCUUUCGAAAGAAAGAUUAAUACCUGAUGGUAUGAUGAAAUUGCAUGAUAGCAUCAUUAAAGAUUUAUCGGUGUACGAUGGGGAUGCGUUCCAUUAGGUAGUAGGCGGGGUAACGGCCACCUAGCCUACGAUGGAUAGGGGUUCUGAGAGGAAGGUCCCCCANAUUGGAACUGAGACACGGUCCAAACGUCCGUACGGGAGGCA
rnacentral:rRNA from 1 species